rnacentral:rRNA from 1 species
AGUGAACGCUGGCGGUAGGCCUAACACAUGCAAGUCGAACGGCAGCACAGUAAGAGCUUGCUCUUACGGGUGGCGAGUGGCGGACGGGUGAGGAAUACAUCGGAAUCUACUUUUUCGUGGGGGAUAACGUAGGGAAACUUACGCUAAUACCGCAUACGACCUACGGGUGAAAGCAGGGGAUCUUCGGACCUUGCGCGAUUGAAUGAGCCGAUGUCGGAUUAGCUAGUUGGCGGGGUAAAGGCCCACCAAGGCGACGAUCCGUAGCUGGUCUGAGAGGAUGAUCAGCCACACUGGAACUGAGACACGGUCCAGACUACUACGGGAGGCAGCAGUGGGGAAUAUUGGACAAUGGGCGAAAGCCUGAUCCAGCCAUACCGCGUGGGUGAAGAAGGCCUUCGGGUUGUAAAGCCCUUUUGUUGGGAAAGAAAAGCAGCAGGUUAAUACCCCGCUGUUCUGACGGUACCCAAAGAAUAAGCACCGGCUAACUUCGUG